UGCGAGUCGAACGGCGGCCAGUAAGAGCUUGGUCUUAUGGGUGGCGAGUGGCGGACGGGGGAGGAAUACAUCGGAAUCUACUUUUUCGUGGGGGAUAACGUAGGGAAACUUACGCUAAUACCGCAUACGACCUACGGGUGAAAGCAGGGGAUCUUCUGACCUUGCGCGAUUGAAUGAGCCUAUGUCGGAUUAGCUAGUUGGCGGGGUAAAGGACCACCAAGGCGACGAUCCUUAGCUGGUCUGAGAGGAUGAUCAGCCACACUGGGGCUGAGACACGGUCCCGACUCCUACGGGAGGCAGCGGUGGGGAAUAUUGGACAAUGGGUGCAAGGGUGAUCCCCCCAUACCCCGUGGGUGGAGAAAGGCGUCGGGUUGUGAGCCCUUUGGUUGUGAAAAAAAUACAUCCGGCUCAUACCCGGUUGGGAUGACGGUGGCCGAAGAAUAAAAACCCCCUGACUUCCUGCCUGGCGCCGCGGGAAUACGGAGGGGGUCAGCGUUGGUCUUAAUUACUGGUCGUAAAACGUGCGCUGGUGGCUGUUUUACUCUGUUGGGAUAUCCCUGGGCUCAAGCUGCGAACUGCCUCGGGAACUGGACAACUAUAGUGUGGUCGAGGGAAGCGGAUUUCCCUGUGUCGCAUUGAAAUGCGUGCAGAUCCGGAGGAACAUGCAUGGCGAAUGCAGCUACCUGGACCGACUCUGACACUGACGCCCGAGAGCGUGAGGAGCAAACAGGAUUAUAUACACUGGUAGUCCACGCCCUCCACAAUGCGAACUGGAUGUUGGGUGCGAGUUGACACGCAGGACCUAAGCUGACGCGUGCACUUCGCCGCCUCGGGAGUACGGUCGCAAGACUGACACUGCAAGGAAUUGACGGGUGGCCGCACACCCGUGGAGCAUGUGGUUUAAUUCUAUGCAACGCGUACAACCUUACCUGGCCCUGACAUA
rnacentral:rRNA from 1 species